rnacentral:tRNA from 1 species
UGGCUCAGACGGUAAAGCGUCCGCCUGCAAUGCGGGAGACCCAGGUUUGAUUCCCGG